GGGCGGGUAGCUCAGUUGGUUAGAGCGCAUGCUUGACAUGCAUGAGGUCCGGGGUUCAAGUCCCUGUCCGCCCA
rnacentral:tRNA from 1 species